GUGAAUUUAAGGUUAUGCAUGAGUUCCUCAUUGCAUAUCUGAAGACUGGUGAGGUUAUCUAUCACUUCAGCUCCAUAAAAUGCUGAUUUCUGGGCCCAUCCAGUAGGUUGUUAGUGAGUGACAGGAUUAUCCAGGAUCUUCUCCACAAAUAGAAAUAUAUCACUUUUACUUGGAGAUGUUUUCUUGGGGGAAAAAAAAUCUAGCACCUUGAAACCUGUUACAAUGUUUAAAUCUCCCUUCUUUACCUUGGCUGUCAUAAAAUCCUCCUGUUUGAGCUAAAUGUGGCCUGCUG
rnacentral:lncRNA from 1 species